AGCAAAGCUUUUGACAAAGUGCCCCAUGAUAUCUUGAUUAGCAAGCUAACUAGAUGUGGGCUGGUUAGAUUAAGUAUCGGGUGGGUACACAGUUGGCUACGGAAUCAUACUCAGAGGGUGAUGAUUAAUGGGUCCUUCUCUUACUGGGAGGAGGCUACAAGUGGGGUACCCCAAGGCUCAGUCCUGGGUACUAGGUGUAUUUGCAGAAAGAGGGUAUUCCAGAGUCAGGGUGGAGAGGGGAGAUUAUGGGAAGAGGUGCUCUGCCAGAUGAUCUGAUCCCAGCCAGCUGAGGGUUUCUGCCUUGAUUUGGGCUCAGAAGCAGAUAGGUUGCUGGUCUGAUUCUUUCACUGAAUUUAUUUAUUUUUAAUUUAUUUAUUAGAUUUCUAUCCCGCCCUUUUAGACAGAGUCUACUCCAUUAAACAUUAUAAACGAAAACAGUUAAAACAAUUCACAACAAUCUCCAUGCAUUCCUUCCUUUUUGCCUCUUUCCCUCUCUUCUCUCUUCCGUCUUCUUUCCGAUGCAGGCCGUGUUAGGCAAAAGAACUGCUGUGUUCCACCAGGCAGAGAAAGGCCCAAACGACGCUAGAGAGCAGAAAGAGUUGAGGCAGGUUGUGCAGGAAAAUGAUGGAGGUGCUGCCUUGCCAGAUGGUGGAACAAGCUGUGGGUCUUCAGCUGUCACUAUGGAAAUGGAUUCAGCCCAGCCUGAUCAGGUAGGAGAAGUCGAAUCAGAGGGAAGCGCUGGGAAUGGUGGGAAUGGGAAGAUGUCGUCUGGAUGUCCCGGUUCCAAAAUAUUGUACGGAUAAAGCGAGCCUUACUGGAUCUGUCCAACGGCCCAUCUUGUCCGAUGUAGUGUCUUCUACAGUGGCUAGCUGGAUUCCUCUAGGGAGCUCAAAAGCAGAACAGGAGAGCAUUGAAUCCUCUCCUUUUAUUCCUCCUCAGCAACUGGUAUCCAAACUCCCGUUGCCUAGAGAUAUAGCUGGAUAACCUUCCUGUGCGUAUUACUCACAGGUAGCCUUCUAUUCUGUGAUUUUUCUCUCUUCUUUUCAUUCCAUUGAUAUUGGUGGAGGAAAGCAUAAGUUGUGGCAGUUCAUUUUAUAGUUUAAUUAUGUGCUCUAUUUAUGCAUUUUUUUUACUACCAAGGCUCUCAGAAAUUUACAGGCCUCUCUUGUGAGCUCCAGUGGGAGAGUCCUGGCCUUCUAGCUUACGUACCUUCUAAGCGACACAGCACAAAAGGAAAAGUGAUGGAGACGGAGGAGGAAAAAAGCAAGCUCAACUGACCUGUUCUUGAGUUCCCUUCGUGCUUGUAGAGAAACUAGAAACAUUUUAAAGGGAGAGGAGCAGUACGGAGAUGAAGUGUUGCGGCUUGUGCAGCGUCCUCUGGCUUCCUCGUGUUUCUUCCAUGGCAGCUGGUUGCAAGGGCUGUUUCUGGAAGACAGACAAAGGGGAGAACGAGGAAUCCUGAUGCAGCUGGCUUAGCCAUGUGACUCUGUUCGUCUCCAUUCCCUCUGUCUCUUAAUGCCUCAAACAUGUCGAUCCCCUUUUUUUAUGGUUUUGGAUUCUCAUAUGAGAUGGGAUGUGUGUUAGGUACUCUAUCUGGCUACGGAGCCAGAGGCUGGGAGUUCAAUCCCCCGCCCCCACUGUGCCUCCCAGGAGAAAAGCCAGCCUGGGUGGCCUUGAGCAAGCUGCACAGUCCCAGGGCUCCCUCUAGAGGAAGGGAAGGGGAUACCACUUCUGAGUACAGUACUCUAGCUAGAAAACUCUGAAAAUGGUCG
rnacentral:lncRNA from 1 species